rnacentral:rRNA from 1 species
GACGAACGCUGGCGGCGUGCUUAACACAUGCCAGUCGAACGGAAAGGCCCUGCCUGCAGGGUACUCGAGUGGCGAACGGGUGAGUAACACGUGGGUGAUCUGCCCUGCACUUCGGGAUAAGCCUGGGAAACUGGGUCUAAUACCGGAUAGGAGCCAUUUUUAGUGUGAUGGUUGGAAAGUUUUUUCGGUGUAGGAUGAGCUCGCGGCCUAUCAGCUUGUUGGUGGGGUAAUGGCCUACCAAGGCGGCGACGGGUAGCCGGCCUGAGAGGGUGGACGGCCACAUUGGGACUGAGAUACGGCCCAGACUCCUACGGGAGGCAGCAGUGGGGAAUAUUGCACAAUGGGCGCAAGCCUGAUGCAGCGACGCCGCGUGGGGGAUGACGGCCUUCGGGUUGUAAACUCCUUUCGCUAGGGACGAAGCUUUUUGUGACGGUACCUAGAUAAGAAGCACCGGCUAACUACGUG